CUUUCAAGCUCUAACUGUUUCAUAUGGCUAACAGUGUUACCUGAAACGAGUAUCUCACUGUUUGGGCAGAAUGGUUCUCUUACUGGAAUUGUUCACAAAGCAACCUAUUAUGUGGCGAGAGGUACCCUCCGGGCACCAUUGAAAUUAAUAUGAAAGGAACAAUCAAGAAUGCCAAGUGCAGUGCAUAAAACGCAGCAGGUCACGUACAGAGGCCUCAAACUCAGCGCUUCAGACCAGAGCUCCUGGUGAGAAACAGGCUGCGCUGACACCUCAGCCCUCAGGCUGUGGGCGGAAAGCUGCGAUGGACACCUCAGAAGGCUGCACACGACCCUCAAUUCAAGAUGGUGGUGGCAGAGGGCCGUGUGCAGAGAGGCUGCACCUGGACCUGGAUCCAUCCAGGAAGGAACACUUGACCCAGGCAGGGUGAAGUCGGGUCGGCUGGAGAAUUUCUUCUUCUGGGUUCUCAAGGGGUCGAAGCUGCAGCAGCCUCAUUGCUCUAAGAUGAGUCUGCCUGAGAAAUGAUCAACACACGGAGAGGAUGGAGAGAGAAACAUAAGCCACAUUUUAAUUGUACCCUGAAGGCAACUCCAUCGCCAAAAAAAAAUGUGUUGUUAACGAAAUUCUCUUCUCUAUCACCAUUUCAUUAAUUUUCCUCUAAUACCCCUUGUCUGUCUCAGGAUCCAUCCAAGACAGUACAUUAUAGUUAGCCUUCAGGUCUUGGG
ensembl:lncRNA